CUAGCUAGGAACCUUGUUAAGCCAACCCCAAGGGCAUCAGCAGUGACAAACAUAAGCCACGAGUGAAAACUUGACUUAGUUAAGGAUAAGAGGGCCGGUCAAUUUCGUGCCAGCCACCGCGGUUAUACGAGAGGCCCAAGUUGAUAGACCUCGGCAUAAAGUGUGGUUAAGGGUUAACUCAAACUAAAGUCGAAGACUUUCAGAGCUGUUAUACGCAAAUGAAAGAUUGAAGCCCAACUACGAAAGUAGCUUUAAAUUACCCUGACGCCACGGAAGCUACGAAACAAACUGGGAUUAGAUACCCCACUAUGCGUAGCCGUAAACAUUGAUAGCACCACAUAUUAACUAUCCGCCCGGGAACUACGAGCGAAAGCUUAAAACCCAACGGACUUGGCGGUGCUUUAGACCCCCCUAGAGGAGCCUGUUCU
rnacentral:rRNA from 1 species